AUUGAACGCUGGCGGCAGGCUUAACACAUGCAAGUCGAGCGGAGUGAUGGUGCUUGCACUAUCACUUAGCGGCGGACGGGUGAGUAAUGCUUAGGAAUCUGCCUAUUAGUGGGGGACAACAUCUCGAAAGGGAUGCUAAUACCGCAUACGUCCUACGGGAGAAAGCAGGGGAUCACUUGUGACCUUGCGCUAAUAGAUGAGCCUAAGUCGGAUUAGCUAGUUGGUGGGGUAAAGGCCUACCAAGGCGACGAUCUGUAGCGGGUCUGCGAGGAUGAUCCGCCACACUGGGACUGCGACACGGCCCAGACUCCUACGGGAGGCAGCAGUGGGGAAUAUUGGACAAUGGGGGGAACCUUGAUCCAGCCAUGCCGCGUGUGUGAAGAAGGCCUUAUGGUUGUAAAGCACUUUAAGCGAGGAGGAGGCUCUUUUGGUUAAUACCCAAGAUGAGUGGACGUUACUCGCAGAAUAAGCACCGGCUAACUCUGUGCCAGCCGCCGCAGUAA
rnacentral:rRNA from 1 species